GGAGGCAUAGCUCAGCUGGGAGAGCACCUGCAUCACACGCAGGGGGUCGCAGGUUCGAGUCCUGUUGUCUCCA
rnacentral:tRNA from 2 species